GAUGAAGAACGGCAGCGAAAUGCGAUAAGUAAUGUGAAUUGCAGAAUUCAGUGAAUCAUCGAAUCCUUGAACGCACAUUGCGCCCGUCAGUAUUCUGGCGGGCAUGCCUGUUCGAGCGUCAUUACGCCCCUCAAGUCCCCUGUGGACUUGGUGUUGGGGAUCGGCGAGGCUGGUUUUCCAGCACAGCCGUCCCUUAAAUUAAUUGGCGGUCUCGCCGUGGCCCUCCUCUGCGCAGUAGUAAAACACUCGCAACAGGAGCCCGGCGCGGUCCACUGCCGUAAAACCCCCCAACUUUUUAUAGUUGACCUCGAAUCAGGUAGGACUACCCGCUGAACUUAAGCAUACAAUAAGCGGAGGA
rnacentral:misc_RNA from 1 species